ACCUGGAUAGCUCAGUCAGUUAGAGCAUGGUGCUGAUAACAACAAGGUUGCAGGUUCAAUCCCUGUAUGCAAGAGGUG